GUGCUGAUCGCGGCUGGAUCUCUGUUGAUUGUAGCUGCAGUCGUGAUCUGCUGCAUCUGCAAGAAACGUAGAAAAACAGUCGAGACACAGGAGGAAGACAGAACUGAUUCAGCAUUGUGUAAACCAACAACA